UACGGGGGGGGCAAGCGUUGUUCGGAAUUACUGGGCGUAAAGGGCUCGUAGGUGGCCAACUAAGUCGGACGUGAAAUCCCUCGGCUUAACCGGGGAACUGCGUCCGAUACUGGUUGGCUUGAGUUUGGGAGAGGGAUGCGGAAUUCCAGGUGUAGCGGUGAAAUGCGUAGAUAUCGGGAGGAACAUCAGUGGCGAAAGCGACUUCCUGGACCAAUACUGACGCUCAUGUGCGAAAGCGUGGGGAGCAAACAGG
rnacentral:rRNA from 1 species